GUCCCCUUAGUGUUAAUGGUUAGCAAGCUUGUCUUGUAAACAAGAAGAGAAGGUUCAAAUCCUUUAGGGGACUC
rnacentral:tRNA from 2 species